rnacentral:rRNA from 1 species
CCUACGGUGGGCAGCAGUCGGGAAUAUUGCACAAUGGAGGAAACUCUGAUGCAGUGACGCCGCGUGCAGGAAGAAGGUUUUCGGAUUGUAAACUGCUUUAGACAGGGAAGAAACAAGACAGUACCUGUAGAAUAAGCUCCGGCUAACUACGUGCCAGCAGCCGCGGUAAGACGUAGGGAGCAAGCGUUAUCCGGAUUUAUUGGGUGUAAAGGGUGCGUAGACGGGAAUUUAAGUUAGUUGUGAAAUCCCUCGGCUUAACUGAGGAACUGCAACUAAAACUGAAUUUCAUGAGUGCGGGAGAGGAAAGUGGAAUUCCGAGGGUAGCGGUGAAAUGCGUAGAUAUUAGGAGGAACACCAGUGGCGAAGGCGACUUUCUGGACCGUAACUGACGUUGAGGCACGAAAGUGUGGGGAGCAAACAGGAUUAGAUACCCCGGUAGUC